AUUGAACGCUGGCGGCAUGCUUUACACAUGCAAGUCGAACGGCAGCGCGGGCUUCGGCCUGGCGGCGAGUGGCGAACGGGUGAGUAAUGCAUCGGAACGUGCCCAGUAGUGGGGGAUAGCCCGGCGAAAGCCGGAUUAAUACCGCAUACGACCUGAGGGUGAAAGCGGGGGACCGAAAGGCCUCGCGCUAUUGGAGCGGCCGAUGUCGGAUUAGCUAGUUGGUGGGGUAAAGGCUUACCAAGGCGACGAUCCGUAGCUGGUCUGAGAGGACGACCAGCCACACUGGGACUGAGACACGGCCCAGACUCCUACGGGAGCAGCAGUGGGGAAUUUUGGACAAUGGGGGCAACCCUGAUCCAGCCAUGCCGCGUGCGGGAAGAAGGCCUUCGGGUUGUAAACCGCUUUUGUUCGGGAAGAAAUCCUCUGGGCUAAUACCCCGGGGGGAUGACGGUACCGGAAGAAUAAGCACCGGCUAACUACGUG
rnacentral:rRNA from 1 species